UGCAGCUGUGUCAGAUUCAGUACCACCACCACCACCCACACACUCACACCCUUGGCAGGCACUGUCCUCAACGGCUGCCACAGAAACACUGUGACUCAUGAGCCCUGUUCCUUUUCUUUUGGGCCUCGGAUAAAUUGUGUUACAGACAUUU
rnacentral:snoRNA from 1 species